rnacentral:rRNA from 1 species
GACGAACGCUGGCGGCGUGCCUAACACAUGCAAGUCGAACGGAAAGGCCCUGCUUUUGUGGGGUGCUCGAGUGGCGAACGGGUGAGUAACACGUGAGUAACCUGUCCCUGACUGUGGGAUAACUUCAGGAAACAGGGGCUAUUACCGGAUAGGAGCUCCUGCUGCAUGGUGGGGGUUGGAAAGUUUCGGCGGUUGGGGAUGGACUCGCGGCUUAUCAGCUUGUUGGUGGGGUAGUGGCUUACCAAGGCUUUGACGGGUAGCCGGCCUGAGAGGGCGACCGGCCACAUUAGGACUGAGAUACGGCCCAGACUCGUACGGUAGGCAGCGGUGGAGAGUAUUGCACAGUAGGCGGGAGCCUGAUGCGACAACGCCGCGUGCGGGAUGACGGGCUUCGGGUUGUGAACCACUUUCGCCUGUGCCGAGGCGUGAGUGACGGUAAUGGGUAAAGAAGCACCGGCUAACUACGUG